UCUAUAAAGUUUGUUUAAAUGCAUUCUUUGGAACCAAUGUUUACUUCGGAGAAUUCACUUUAACUAGGAAGUAUAUAAGAUUGACGGUCAGUUAUUGAACUGAAUGUAGUAUGGCGGACUACUGUCAGUUUGGAGAAUGUUGGAGGAAAGCUUUGUUUGUUCAAGCUCUGGUGCUGUUUUGUUUUUCUGUAUCCAGUAUAGCUGUGGCUUAAGUAUAUGCUUCGGAUUGUCCCCACGAAGGCUAUAGACUACCGUUCUUUCUGUUAGCUGCCGGACUGGUUGGCUUGUUUGAUGCUGUCAUGAUUUUCUUCUCAAACACACUCUGGAGUAGUUACAAAAGUUUUCGGUGUGAAGGGAGCAAGGAAACAGUCAAGUGUGUCAAUGGAAUCACUGGAGCUUUGUCCUUUGUGUUUUUCGUUUUUGUCUUUGUUGGGUUGGUAUAUGGUGCUUCGGCAGAUAAGAAUUCUACAGAGUGUCUCGAUGUUGUUUGGAAAUUUGCAUUGGCCAUGUGCAGUUUAGGAUUGAUUUCCUUUGUCUUGCUUGGUGGUGUGUGCAUGUUUAUUGGCGGAGAUUGAUAAAAUACGAGAGUCAUUUGUAUUGCGAACUAUCAUGGGAUAUUGUACUUCCAUUUAAAAUAUAGGAUAGCCAUACUAUGUAUCUGGACUGUACACUUUUCACAGUUUCCAUAAUACCAUUAUUCCACAGUCGUAAAUUACGUAUAGCGGUGAAGUACAUGCAUUCAAAUAUAUAAGUCUCUAAGUAUCAAAGUGGCAAGAAACACAAGUUAUGAAGUGAUCAAAUUUCGUCAAAAUGUCCGACGAACCCUCAACAUGAAAGUAAAUCAUUUAUUUACAGUCUUCUCUCAAACAGGACAUAAUUUAUAAUCAUAUUUAUGUGAUCCAUAUUUAAAUAAAAUCCUUUUAAAAGUAGUUAGAGAACUGACGUUUUUCAUUUUAAGAGAGAAGAAUAAAUGUUAAUUCUUUCAAUAUGGGUGUAAUGUUUUCUUCUAAAUCGACAAUUAAACAUUUUAUUUGCUCUGAGAUACAAAAUCAGCAGACAUUGAAAUGACAAUUUGUACAAUAUUCUUCAAAUUCGUAUCGUUAAAGGAUAUCAUUAAGAUAAGGUUAGUAUAUUGUCUCUCCCUACACUACCUCAACAAAGGAAUUCUUUAGACUAUAAUGGAUCGAAAAAUUUAUUUCAAAUACGGGUAAUGUUGUGAACUCAAAGCGAAAAACAAAUUCAUUACUUGUGGAAUGUGGAAAUUGUCAUUAUAAUAUUUUUCCUGUACUGGUCUCCGCCGUCCAACGUCUGUAAACUUAUUGUACAUAAACAAUUCGCAACAAGUCUGAAUAAUUGGAAAAAGUAUAGUUUCAACAUCUUAUACUAUUAGUCUUAACUAUUAAGCAACAUUCCCUUUUUCAAGGAAAAUACAACAACACUGUAAAUUUGCUCACUUAUGGUUGGCAAAGUUACCAGGUUUCAAUGAAAUGCGUAAAUUUUUGUAUUGAACGAAUUAAUAUUGCUGACAGUUAAUUUUAUUGUUCCCUAAUGCGCAUUUAUCCGAGCUUUAUGAUAAAACUAAUUUGGAUAUUUAUUACCAAAAAUGCCAUCUUUUAAACAUCAGAAGACGAAAGACAAUUUCAAUGAAAUUAUCGAAUCGUCACACACACAAUACUAGUAUCUCGUAAUUACAAAACUGACACUUGUAUUUAAAACUGUAUCAACUUCCCUCUUUACGUUUAAAGUAAUAUUACGGAUAUAAGCAUAUUUAUACGAUAUAUGCAUUACAAUAGUUAGGGUGUCAAUGUAUAGUGUUCCGCCUAACAUAAUUUCUCCUGGAAACUGUUAUAAACAAUGCCAUAAUAUAUGUUCCUGUUGGAACAAAUAUUCCAUACUCUUUAUUCUGUUAGGAACAAUUACUGUUAUAUUUAUUCCAGGGGAAAUAACACUCCAGAAUAUUUAUUCUAGCUGGAUUUUGUAUUAUAAAGGAACUUCUGUUUCAUGACAUUUAUUCAUCGUUAUGUAGGGAUGACAAAAGGAACGAUAUACAUGAACUUUAUCUCAGUAUUAACAGUAUUAAUGCACAGUUCAUGUAAUACCUAUAUUACUGUCAUAUGUAAAUAAUUAUGUAUCAUGUUUUGUUUGUAUUCCGUUUUAUUUAUUUCAUGUAUAUUAAAUUGAUUCAAUUAAAAUCUAAACAGUCAAAAACCGAA